GCAAGUCGAACGAAGUCGCCCAAUUGAUUCUUAGUGCUUGCACUAAGAUGAUUUUGGAUCCGACUGAGUGGCGAACUGGUGAGUAACACGUGGGUAACCUGCCCAGAAGAAGGGGAUAACACCUGGAAACAGAUGCUAAUACCGUAUAACAACAAGAACCACAUGGUUCUUGUUUGAAAGCUGGCCUUUGUGCUAGUGCUUCUGGAUGGACCCGCGGCGUAUUAGCUAGUUGGUGAGAUAAUAGCUCACCAAGGCAAUGAUACGUAGCAGACCUGAGAGGGUAAUCUGCCACAAUGGGACUGAGACACGGCCCAUACUCCUACGGGAGGCAGCAGUAGGGAAUCUUCCACAAUGGACGAAAGUCUGAUGGAGCAACGCCGCGUGAGUGAAGAAGGGUUUCGGCUCGUAAAACUCUGUUGUUAGAGAAGAACAGCCGUGAGAGCAACUGCUCACGGUAUGACGGUAUCUAACCAGAAAGUCACGGCUAACUACGUGCCAGCAGCCGCGGUAAUACGUAGGUGGCAAACGUUGUCCGGAUUUAUUGGGCGUAAAGGGAGCGCAGGCGGUUUAUUAAGUCUGAUGUGAAAGCCUUCGGCUUAACCGGAGAAGUGCAUCGGAAACUGAUAAACUUGAGUGCAGAAAAGGAUAGUGGAACUU
rnacentral:rRNA from 2 species